CUUACAAUACAUUGUGUGAUUAAGAUUUCAAAUAAUUUUUUUGAAUGUUCUUUUAACAGCUCUUACAGACAUGGACCAUCAAAUCCAAGCAGAUCACGUCAAACAGCUUGUUGACUAUUUUGAGUCACAUGCUAGGCGUAAGAAAGAGACUAGACUAACUCUCCGUUCCAGCUCCAAAGGAUCACAUAGUGACAAAAAAGAAAAUAGGCCGACACAUAUAUUCAGACGACCUAAUGGUGAAAACAUCGUUCAACCAUCACCAUUAACAUCGAUUUCAAACCUGAUAAAACCAUGUUUUAAACAUGGCCACUUUAUCGAAGAGACUGUUCUCUGAAAUAUCUAAGGUAAUAACAGAUAAGCUAGACCAACUUUAUCCCGAACGCUGCACAUUAUUGCAAGUUGUACCCCUCGUGUCACCAAAUAAUGAAAAAUUUUCAUUGGAUAUUGGUGCUUCUGGUCAUAUUUGUUUUAAAGCUGCUGAAAUGUCAGCUUCAUCAUCACAACACGUCUCAUCUAAAUUGUCUAGACAAGUAAACAAACCGCAACGGGCUUCAAAAAUACCUGUUAGGAUUUCAGGAAAUAAAAACCUAUAGGAUAGUAAAUCUACGACAACAUCACAGCUAUUAGAAUCUACUAAAAGACAACGAUUCAACCGAUGUGAAUAUGCGUCAUCACACUAUACGAUUCGAUGAAGAUGUGUCAUUACAUUAUUAUAACUCUCAAUCGCCCAUCGUACAUAAAAUACCCAGUUGUAGACGUAAAAAAACAUUAAAAAUCCCCCUUAAAGGUCAUGAUGAUAAUUCAGACGGACUCUUAUGAUUAUUCAUUAUUAUUUUCUACUUUGUUGUUAAGUUUUAAGGAGCCACUGCAGCAGUUGGGAACACAUUCUUUAAGAAUUCAAAUGAUACUAAAAAAUUAGACAUAAAGAUUGUAUGUUUGAAAUAGCUCUUUUACAAUUUUUGUUAUAAUUAUUAAGUGUGUAGUUUAAUUAUAUGUUGUAAUCAGAAUAGUUUUACAUG